UGUGUAGGCGGUUCCGUGUGAUUGGUGUGAAAUCUCCCGGCUUAACUGGGAGGGUGCGCCGAUAACUGCGGGGCUUGAGUAUUGGAGAGGAGAGCGGAAUUCCUGGUGUAGCGGUGAAAUGCGUAGAUAUCAGGAGGAACACCGGUGGUGUAGACGGCUCUCUGGACAAUCACUGACGCUGAGACACGAAAGCGUGGGGAGCAAACAGGAUUAGAUACCCUGGUAGUCCACGCCCUAAACGAUGCAUACUUGGUGUGAGCCAUUCAUUUGGUUCGUGCCGGAGCUAACGCGUUAAGUAUGCCGCCUGGGGAGUACGGUCGCAAGGCUGAA
rnacentral:rRNA from 1 species